ACGUUAGCGGCGGACGGGUGAGUAACACGUGGGUAACCUACCUAUAAGACUGGGAUAACUUCGGGAAACCGGAGCUAAUACCGGAUAACAUUUGGAACCGCAUGGUUCUAAAGUGAAAGAUGGUUUUGCUAUCACUUAUAGAUGGACCCGCGCCGUAUUAGCUAGUUGGUAAGGUAACGGCUUACCAAGGCGACGAUACGUAGCCGACCUGAGAGGGUGAUCGGCCACACUGGAACUGAGACACGGUCCAGACUCCUACGGGAGGCAGCAGUAGGGAAUCUUCCGCAAUGGGCGAAAGCCUGACGGAGCAACGCCGCGUGAGUGAUGAAGGGUUUCGGCUCGUAAAACUCUGUUAUUAGGGAAGAACAAAUGUGUAAGUAACUGUGCACGUCUUGACGGUACCUAAUCAGAAAGCCACGGCUAACUACGUGCCAGCAGCCGCGGUAAUACGUAGGUGGCAAGCGUUAUCCGGAAUUAUUGGGCGUAAAGCGCGCGUAGGCGGUUUCUUAAGUCUGAUGUGAAAGCCCACGGCUCAACCGUGGAGGGUCAUUGGAAACUGGGAAACUUGAGUGCAGAAGAGGAAAGUGGAAUUCCAUGUGUAGCGGUGAAAUGCGCAGAGAUAUGGAGGAACACCAGUGGCGAAGGCGACUUUCUGGUCUGUAACUGACGCUGAUGUGCGAAAGCGUGGGGAUCAAACAGGAUUAGAUACCCUGGUAGUCC
rnacentral:rRNA from 2 species